AGAAAAAAAAGUCACAAAAUAAGUAACACUAAAAGAAAAUUGAAAAUAUUCACAUUGAAGAAACAUUUAUGGAGAGAACAGACUCUAAGGGAAUGAAGGAUUGUACAAUCAUACCAAGUCAGUGCAACAAAGAGGAGAGGAAACACCCCAAACCAAUUAAAAAAAUGUAUUAUGUAUCCACAGACUGACCUAAGAAGACUAAUUUAAAGACAACAGAGAAGGGAACCAUGAAUUAUGAAGGAAAAGAGCAAUUGGUUUUGAUACUACUUGAUGUCUAGUAAAAAAGAGAGCUGAUAAAAAGAAGGUCUACAGUAAAAGUGCUUGCACAAAAAGUUUAAAGAAAGCAAGAUUGGUUGGUGAUAAGUGUAUAUAACAGGUUCUGUGUUCAGUUUCAUGCAUGCCCCUGUACAAAGAUACUGCUGUGUUGUCCAUACCUACUUCAGAUAGGAACAGAUUUUUGAGAAGAGUCAAGGAGUUCAACUAAGAAAGGGUGGAUGUUUGCCAAGAAUUAAGUUCAUUUACAUGAGGAUUCAUGUCAUAAGUCACACCCAUCUUCAGAUUUUUGGCCACGGUGAUUGAAGUUUGAGAAGAUAACGAGUAACUGAAAAAAAGGUUUUUAGCGGACAGCCUGAGAUAAUCCCAGAAGUCAUGCUACAAUCUAGGUGCUUGUACAGGUCCAGUCUCAAGCAUAGAAGAUCUGCACAUUGGAGAAGAGAACGACAGCUCAUGGUUUCAACUGAGAGAGACAGAAGCCAAUCUUCUAGCAACAUCCUAAGAAACAUUGUUAUGAACUUCAGAGCAGGAAAAGGACAAAAGGUGAAAACCUACAGGAACCAGCAUAGUCAGACUCUUGUCUUUUACUGCCUUUUACUGUCCAGCACUGCCUUUUAAUUUGUGGGAGAGAACAGCAGGGGAGAUCAUUUCGUGCUGUAUAUAUUGCUGACAUGUGGAAUCAGGAAAAACAGUUGCACUUCUGACUUCCUUUGAGAGUGGCUCCCUCAGCCUGGAAACAAUUCCUUUAAUGAAGCAGCCAUGCAGCACCAGGGUAGCCCAGCAGCCUUUGUUGUGAUAUUCAAAUCUUGUAUGCAUGGCAGUAUUUUAUACCAGCUCUACUCCUAAUCUUGCUACAUUUAUAGGUCUGUUGAAUUUUCAGGUUUUAAAGCAUCACAGCAAAAAACAGCUCAGUCUUUCUCAUUUAUUUCGAAAAGUCCCGUUUUUGUCACAACUGUCUUAUUUUAAAUGUAAAUGUCCCAGAUUUGGGUUUUUUAACUAAAGGACAAGGUAUAAUGUAGAAGAUACAACAAUUAAAACUGUAAAAUACACUUUCAUGUCUCUGAAUGUUUGUUUAUUCUUUCAGCUGUUCUCACUUUAAAUUCUCCAAAUCAAGAUAUGA